rnacentral:rRNA from 1 species
UACGUAGGUGGCAAGCGUUGUCCGGAUUUACUGGGUGUAAAGGGUGCGCAGGCGGAUCUGUAAGUCAGAGGUGAAAUCUCACAGCUUAACUGUGAAACUGCCUUUGAUACUGCAGAUCUUGAGUUCGGGAGAGGUUGAUGGAAUUCCAGGUGUAGCGGUGAAAUGCGUAGAUAUCUGGAAGAACACCAGUGGCGAAGGCGGUCAACUGGCCCGUAACUGACGCUGAGGAGCGAAAGCGUGGGGAGCGAACAGG